rnacentral:rRNA from 1 species
GACGAACGCUGGCGGCGUGCUUAACACAUGCAAGUCGAGCGGAAAGGCCCUUCGGGGUACUCGAGCGGCGAACGGGUGAGUAACACGUGAGUAAUCUGCCCUUGGCUUUGGGAUAACUACCGGAAACGGUGGCUAAUACCGGAUACGACAACCGUCUGCAUGGGCUGGUUGUGGAAAGUUUUUUCGGCCAGGGAUGUGCUCGCGGCCUAUCAGCUUGUUGGUGGGGUAAUGGCCUACCAAGGCUUCGACGGGUAGCCGGCCUGAGAGGGUGACCGGCCACACUGGGACUGAGACACGGCCCAGACUCCUACGGGAGGCAGCAGUGGGGAAUAUUGGACAAUGGGCGGAAGCCUGAUCCAGCAACGCCGCGUGGGGGAUGACGGCCUUCGGGUUGUAAACCUCUUUCAGUACCGACGAAGCGCCGAUGAUGGUGGUGACGGUAGGUACAGAAGAAGCACCGGCCAACUACGUG